rnacentral:rRNA from 1 species
CACGUAGGGCGCAAGCGUUGUCCGGAAUUAUUGGGCGUAAAGAGCUCGUAGGCGGUCUGUUGCGUCCGCUGUGAAAACCCGGGGCUUAACCCCUGGCUUGCAGUGGAUACGGACAGACUAGAGGUAGGUAGGGGAGAACGGAAUUCCUGGUGUAGCGGUGAAAUGCGCAGAUAUCAGGAGGAACACCGGUGGCGAAGGCGGUUCUCUGGGCCUUACCUGACGCUGAGGAGCGAAAGCAUGGGGAGCAAACAGG